GAAAAACCUAAACUUGGAGACAUGACGUCGUCUGACGCUACAGUCCCGGUGAGGCGAAUCAUCUGAACAGGACAGGAAGUCAAUUAGGUGACGUCAACAUGUCGACAUGUCAGGUAAAUUCCUCAACAAUGACACAACCCCAAAGCAAUACAAAAUCAAUCAGCAGAAGGUCGUGGCGGUUAUGGUGGAAAAGGUGUGCAAUCGUAACUGCUUCAGAAAUGGACAGGGCAUCCUAGACCAGGACGCGUGCCAGCUGUGCCCACAGGUGGUGCGAGCGGCCCUGCUAGCGCUGGCUCCUCACCAAGUGCUGAGGAUGGCACACGACUCAACUCCCUAAGAAACCAGCCCGAGCACCAUGUGAUGAGACAGCUGAUGGAGCAGAGUGCCUCCCUGUUUCCAGGCCCGCUGCAGACCAUCUGCAGGGAGAACCCCAAAUCUUCUGCAGGGCAUAAAUAACCACCAGGACAUCAUCCACAUGCUCACUGAUUUCAAUCUUGGAGCAGUGCCGGAUGUUUGCAUAGGUGAACCUGGAGAAGCAGGGCCAGCAGGACCGAUGGCAGCUGCCACAUCCACUGGAAGUCACACAAAGUCACUCCACAUCACACCUGAAGAGAGGGAGAGGAGGAACAGGACACAGUCGCUAGCUUUCCCUGUCAGUCCAAUGCAGAUAUGUGUAUUUGUGCCAACAUGAAUGUGUACAUUUCUACUCUACUGUUUUUAAUUUAUAUACACGCUUUUAACUAUAUACACACAUUUGUGCUCCAUAUAUAGUAUACGCACAUGUUUAUUUGUCAUUGUAAUGGAUAAAUCAUAUUUUCAGUCUGUAUUCUGAACAUUAGGUGCAUUUUUAUCUGCAACCACUUGCUAGUACAGGGAUGGGCAAGCGUGUCAUUGAAGGCCAAGAGUCUUCAGGUUUUCAUUCUAGCCUGUCACUGCAGCAGGUGAUUAUUUCACUGAAUAAUAAACCUUUAGCAGGAGCAACUAAUCAGUGAAAUCACCUUCUGCAGUGAAAGGCUGGAAUGAAGGCCUGAAGACUCUCCAUGGAACAUGAUUGCCCAUCCCUGAGCGAGUCUAAAUCACUCUGGCGGUAGGUCUGUCAGUCCCAAACGUGAUAGGUCUAAUACUGAUUUCCACCACCCAUGAAUGGGGGCACUGUUGUGUUGCAUGGAAUUCUUGACCCUCACACAAGCCUACAGUAGUGGUUAUGAUGAUUAAAACUAUAAGAAAGCAUCUGGACAGGAGGAGACUGAGGCGAUGAAUACUUUUUCACUUUAAAUGGGAAUAAACAGUGUAAUGACCUUUUGCUGUAACUAGGCUAACCAUGCUCUGUACACUUCAGCACCCAGUCCUGUCCCUUUCUAAGAGCCAGACAAUGUGUGCAUCAUCAGUCUCUGGGGAAAUUUCCAUUCUACAAGCCACUCUUAGAUUGAUGUUUGUAGGAUCAAUGUUAUUCAAGGAAAAUGGUAAAAAGUUCCUCCUGCAUCAGAGGCUCAGGAGGUUCAACAACGUUCCUGCAGAGAGAAACCUGUGCUCAUGUUUGUACAACGUGCAGGAGUGGAUUUUAAUGGUGAUGUUGCAUUUUUGAACAAAGAAUGGUCACAGUGACCGCCCACCGAGCAGAAUGGGCUGCUUCUGCUGAUGCUAAAGAGUCUCCAGAGGGCGCCUCUCACAAAUGAGUGUGUGAGCUGAGAGAAAAGGACAAGAAAGGAAAUGCUACAGUAAGAGUGAAGUAGGUGGAUUAUUGGUAAAGCAUCAGUGCACAAACAACAUAUAAACAUUGGUUAGACUACAUUUUACUUUUGUUUCACUCUUGGAAAUGAUCUUAUUAUUUCUGCAUAUUAUAUUCCAGCUAGUCUAGAGAAGCUUUAAGAAGAUUAAGAUUAAGAUUUUGUGUGCGUAUGACCUGCCAGAGUGUGAUACUUUACCCAUUUACCCUUUACCCACUGUACCCAUUAUACUGAGAAAUGUAAUACCAAAUCUUUAAAUUUUACACUAUGAUGUAAUGUAUGUCCCAUUUGCUAUUCUUCUCCGUUUACAGGUAUAAGGGGCAAGGAUUUCCAGAACGUCUCAUUACACAAACCUGGCUUCAUAUUAUAGAGCAUUCACCUUUUGUACUGAUACUGGAUUGUUAUUUGGUUUUGUAUGAGAACAAGCCGGUCGAUUUGAAAUGGGAGUAAAAAUUAAAAUUAGUUAUGCAUCAGAAAUCACGUAUGCGCCAUGGAUUUCUUUAUUAUACUUUAGCUAAGAGCAAAGUCAUUAUGAAAUGAAUGUUGUU